AUGACCUAUUUGUAGUUGAGAUUAUGUACUAGAGGGAAGUGAAGGAACUCCUUUUGCAGGUGGAUAUUAUUAUGGGAAAAUCAAAUUUCCUCCAGAGUAUCCAUUUAAACCUCCAGGAAUCAGUAUGACUACUCCAAACAGACGAUUUAUGACUUAAAAGAAAAUCUGCCUGUCUAUGAGUGAUUUUCAUCCAGAAAGUUGGAAUCCGAUGUGGUCUGUAUCAAGCAUACUUACUAACCUUCUCUCUUUCAUGGUGAGAUUCUGAACUUAGUAUUAUAUGGCUAUUGUCUCCUAACUAUACAGGAUAGAUACACGACUAGAUGAAAUAUGCCUGAAAUUUUCUUUAUGGACAUCUCAAUCCCAUUUAUUUACAUACCAAACAGGCCUUAUUCAUUUGACUUUUGAGUCUUUGAGUUCUUGCCAAUGACUGUAUCAUAGGAAUGUAUUCUGCAUUCAUGACAUUAUAUAAUACUCAAUUUUUAACAAAGUAUCUGGUUAUGCAUUGGUGUAACUGGUUGAUUCACUUAUUUCGAUGAAUGGAGGUUUUCUGCACCUUCUCUGCUUCCUCCCUCAUAUUCCAUCUUAGGGUUGUGAAUUUGAAAGGAAAAAAGUAUUGUUAGUUUGGUAACUUCUAAUGGGUCUUCUGAUCAUCUUCUUGCAGCUGUCUCCACUUUUAUUUUAAAUUUACUGAAUGUUUGUAGACUUUAGGAUGCUAGGCACCAACCUAGUGGGUUGGCCCCUAAAUUGCUCGUAGCUAUAAUAUC